GUAGCUGGUCUGAGAGGAUGAUCAGCCACACUGGRACUGAGACACGGCCCAGACUCCUACGGGAGGCAGCAGUGGGGAAUAUUGGACAAUGGGGGCAACCCUGAUCCAGCAAUGCCGCGUGUGUGAAGAAGGCCUGMGGGUUGUAAAGCACUUUCAGUGGGGAGGAGGKUUKGUAGGUUAAGAGCUGAUUAAAUGGACGUUACCCACAGAAGAAGCACCGGCUAACUCCGUGCCAGCAGCCGCGGUAAUACGGAGGGUGCAAGCGUUAAUCGGAAUUACUGGGCGUAAAGGGUGCGUAGGUGGUUUAAUAAGUUAUCUGUGAAAUCCCUGGGCUUAACCUGGGCAGGUCAGAUAAGACUGKUUGACUCGAGUAUGG
rnacentral:rRNA from 1 species